AUUCAUUUCAGACACUAAAUUGACAUUUCUUUGCUCUUUCACUUUGCCGAGACAACAAUAACAAUUAGCACACGCUCUUGGCUAGGAUAGCAUUUCAGGAGCCUCCAUUUAACCUUUUAAUUAGACCUUUCUCGCACAGAAGAUAUAAUUUAGCAUGUGCAACACUGUUAUACUUCUCAAAUAAAGCAGUGAGAGUGGUUAGUAGGAUAGUGGAUAAGCUAGUUUAGCUGUGCUGGAGUUGUUUUGGUGCGUGUAGUCAUUCAUAACAGUGUUUAUAUCCGCGCUGAGUCGAGUCGCAGCCUAAUUAAUAUUCAACUAGGGCAAUAACAAAACACGCCUUUUGUCCGUUUUGUCGCACUGGUUUUUGUUUGUUGUUUGUUUGUUUGUUUGUUUGUUUGUCUACAAAAGCACUGCAAGUGCAUACAGCACCAGUGCUUCUGCAGCUCCUUCCUCCAGCAGUGUGGCGGUAUGGUCACUUGUGGUGCUUUAUGAUGGUGUGUGUUUGUAUAGCCUGUGAAAUGAGCUUGUGCUGCUCUUAUCACCCUAAACACUACCUGGAAUUAGAGCUGUAAACAUGGCAAUAUAUUUGCUAUGAAUCUUGCUACAGCAUUUAAAAGAACUGUUUAAAAAAAAACAAGCAUACUCGCAAAACCGUGCUUGUUCAGUAAUGUAUGGAUGUAACUCUGACCUCUUUUGUCCUAGCUACUAGGUAGUACUAGCUACUAGUACUAGCUCCGGAUGAAUGAACUUUUUAUGAUCCUUUAUUACUAUCUGUAAUGAGUAACUGAGCCCCGUGUUCGUGUGGGUUUUCACUGGUUUUCUUCCACCUCCAAAAACAUGCAGGUAGGGACAAAUCUGGUGGAGCCAAUGCACCGAAGUAUGAAUACGUGGUUGUGUGUAUUAUCUGCAUAAGCUCCUGAUCCACCUGCAGUUACUAAAGAUGGGUGAAUAAAUGAUGUUUCUGGUUUUAGAUCUUCAAACGAAAUACAACAUAAGACAACAGCAACCUGAGUGAGCACACAAUAUGGUUUUUAUUUAUUGUUUUUUUAUUAUUAUUAUUGAAACAAAACAAAAAAGUUAUGGUAGUCAGUCAGUGUGGAAAAACUAGUUGCCCCCUUAAACUUAAAAUCUGGUUGUGCCACCUUUAACAGCAAUAACUGCAACUAAACACUUCCGAUAACUGGAGAUCAGUCUUUCACUUACUUCUAGGACUAGGACUUACUCCUAUGAUGUGGAUCAUUGUCUUGCUGCAUAAUCCAGUUGCGCUUGACUUUCGAUU
ensembl:lncRNA